AUCAGGGAAGGAAAAGCUUCUUCAGAAUCUCCAGAAGAUUUUCACUUGUAUCUCACCGGCCAGAACUGUGUCACAUAUCAACACAUACCUGUGAAUGGAGCUGGAAAAGCACGUAUUACUUGGACACAUUAUUGUCAGAACACAGGAAGGAUUAUGAUGCCAUAGAAAAGGGGUGAGUGGUUAUUUAGUAGGAACUUCAGGGGCUGGACAGGAGAUUUGAAGCAGGAAACUCUUCUGAGGACAUGGGAUAGCAAAGGCUGCAGAUCUCAACACAACUUUAGAGAAUGCCUUGGAGUUAUGGAGACAGAAGUCAGAAUACAGCAGGUUGAGAAGUAACUCGUCAAGGUAGGGAACUGAGACUGCUCUUUCUGAUCUGGGCUUCGUGGGAAAAGAAAGGUGGAUAGAGAAUAAUGAACUAUUGAAGGAUUACUUUUUUGUUUGUUUCUUUUGAAAAUGUGAGCAACUUGAUCGUAUUUACAGACUUAGGGGAGCUUAGAGAAAUGAGCUAAAGAUAUAACAGAUAAGAUGCAAUUAAAAGAGAGGAGAGCUGAACCCAUCCUCAGACAGGAUGAUGCGAUAGAAAGUGAGAAAAACCAGACAAAAGAAAGUAGUUCACG
rnacentral:lncRNA from 1 species